rnacentral:rRNA from 1 species
AGCCCGUUUAUGGGUGAUGGCGUGCCUUUUGCAGAAUGAACCGGCGAGUUACGAUCUCGUGCGAGGUUAAGUCGAAAAGACGGAGCCGUAGCGAAAGCGAGUCUGAAUAGGGCGUAUAGUACGAGGUCGUAGACCCGAAACCAGGUGAUCUACCCAUGUCCAGGGUGAAGGUAGGGUAAUACCUACUGGAGGCCCGAACCCACGUACGUUGAAAAGUGCGGGGAUGAGGUGUGGGUAGGGGUGAAAUGCCAAUCGAACACGGAGAUAGCUGGUUCUCUCCGAAAUAGCUUUAGGGCUAGCCUCAAGAUGAUGAGUACUGGAGGUAGAGCACUGAUUGGACUAGGGGCCCUCAUCGGGUUACCGAAUUCAGUCAAACUCCGAAUGCCAGAUACUUAAACUUGGGAGUCAGACUACGAGUGAUAAGAUCCGUGGUCAAGAGGGAAACAGCCCAGAUCACCAGCUAAGGUCCCAAAGUGUACGUUAAGUGGAAAAGGAUGUGGAGUUGCUUAGAC